rnacentral:rRNA from 1 species
ACCCGCUGAACUUAAGCAUAUCAAUAAGCGGAGGAAAAGAAACCAACAGGGAUUGCCCUAGUAACGGCGAGUGAAGCGGCAACAGCUCAAAUUUGAAAUCUGGCGUCUUUGGCGUCCGAGUUGUAAUUUGCAGAGGGCGCUUUGGCAUUGGCAGCGGUCCAAGUUCCUUGGAACAGGACGUCACAGAGGGUGAGAAUCCCGUACGUGGUCGCUAGCCUUUACCGUGUAAAGCCCCUUCGACGAGUCGAGUUGUUUGGGAAUGCAGCUCUAAAUGGGAGGUAAAUUUCUUCUAAAGCUAAAUCCUGGCCAGAGACCGAUAGCGCACAAGUAGAGUGAUCGAAAGAUGAAAAGCACUUUGGAAAGAGAGUUAAAAAGCACGUGAAAUUGUUGAAAGGGAAGCGCUUGCAGCCAGACUUGCCUGUAGUUGCUCAUCCGGGUUUUUACCCGGUGCACUCUUCUAUAGGCAGGCCAGCAUCAGUUUGGGCGGUUGGAUAAAGGUCUCUGUCAUGUACCUCUCUUCGGGGAGAACUUAUAGGGGAGACGACAUGCAACCAGCCCGGACUGAGGUCCGCGCAUCUGCUAGGAUGCUGGCGUAAUGGCUGU